UACAACUAAAAAUCUCUUGCUCCUCUUGGGAACGAACUUGAAUACACUAUAUUACUUGUUAAUUAGGUGGAAAAAUAUUAAUUAAUUUGUUGUGGUUACGACACGCAUCACAUAUAUAUUUUUGAAAGGAACCCUAGAUUAUUUCUUCUCUUUGGCCGUUUGGUUGUAUAUUUAACAAAAAAACGGGGUAUUUUGCAUCCUUAUUCUGCACCAGGUUUCAGUAUGACACUCCCCUUCCAUAAGUAGGAAGAAUUGAACCUACAUACGUUGACGUAUCUUUACUUCAUCUGUUAUGGGAUAUUUUUGCAGAACAACUGAUCAAUCAAUUCCUGCAACAUCUUUGUAUUCUCGCCUUUUUGCGUUUAUCCAUCCACUCGAGAGUAAUAAGAAGAAUCAGAAGACUCUGCAUUGAAAUUGAGAAGAAAGGUAGUCGUGGAGAAAGUCAGCUUCACCAAUGUACUGGUGCAGGGACGACAGGCAAAAUAUGUCAUUGUUGGAAGCAGUGUUUAAAUUCCUUCUCAUUUGUGGAUUUAACUACGUUUCUGACCUUGAUGGUGUUGGAUGCAAAGUAUCUCGAGCCUCAAAAAGAUUGGCGUCUAAAUCUGGGAGUCGCAAUGAUUGCAAGUUAACGAAUCUCGCUCAUAGGGAAGACAAAAAUGUAGAGAGAGCUUUGCAGAAGCACCGACUAACGUUGUUAUUUUGAUUUCAAGGGUUAUUUGCCCCAUUAACAUGCAUUAUUUUUCCUUCCUUUUUUUUGUUGUUGAUCAUGUUAAAUCUCAUCAUAUCUUUUCCAGGUUCUCUUGACUUCUUGCAAAGUGGUACUUAUCUGCUGAUUCUUCUCUACCCUCCGCAUUAGUUGCUGAGUUCCAGGUGCUAAGAGAUAAAACAAUGAACCAAGCCUAAUAGUGGGGAGUACUCCAGAGAGGAAGCAGGGGAGUACUCGGAAGAAGGUAAACUGAAAGUGAACACUUGAGAAUUUUAUGUAUAAAAUUUUUAUUUCAUCUCUUUAGCGUGCCAAAGAAACAAUAUUCGAGAUCAUGUUCCUCCUCAUUUCUUUUAGUCUCUCUGAUCCCUUUGUCUUCUGCAUGACGCUUUAAGUUAUGGGAUUUAGUAUAUAGUCUAAAUUCAUCAGCCUCCCAGCCAGGGAAAUAUUGUUCAAGUUCUAACAUCGAAGAUAAAUCACAGGAUGAAAAACAAGAGGAAGAUCGUGAGAAACACCAAAGAUAGAGACAGUGAAGGAUUCUGAGUGGAAAGUUCUUAAUGACUUAAGGUUGUAUGGUUGUGCAGUCUUAAUGAGAUUUUAAGUGGGGACCAUCCAUGUCUUUGAGUCAGUUCACUGCCGAAGGCGAUGUCGAGUUCGAGGCUGUUCUUUUUGUUCCUCCAAAAGCUUCUCGGGUUCUGUACGAGAGUUGGUACAAACCUAAGAAGUUCAACUUGAAGUAAUGUCAGGCAUGCCUUCAUCUCAGUUGAAUUUGAUGAGUUUUCUCCCAAGUUCCUAGACUUUUUGAUGGGUCUGGAGGGUACAGCCGAGCGUGAGCUUCUUAAGUUGUCUGUGCAAUUUAUGGGCUUAGCAUCGUAAUCUUACCUGGGAAUUAAGAUCCAUAUAUGGAAUUAGCAUGCUUUGGAUUAUAACAUUUUCAAAUUGAAAUUUUUAUUUUGUAUAUGUUAUCCAUAAAAUUUUAAUAUAUAUUUAGCCGAUGUUGGGUACUUAGUUGUUUGUUGAUAAGGGCU